rnacentral:rRNA from 1 species
GACGAACGCUGGCGGCGUGCUUAACACAUGCAAGUCGAACGAUGAAGAAGAGACACGCGAACUUCGGUUCAAAUUUCACUUCGGAUUAGUGGCAGACGGGUGAGUAACGCGUGAGCAACCUACCUCUUACAAAGGGAUAGCCUCGGGAAACCGUGAUUAAUACCAUAUGACACAUUCAUAAGGCAUCUUAAGAAUGUUAAAGCUACGGCGGUAAGAGAUGGGCUCGCGUCCCAUUAGCUAGUUGGUGAGGUAACGGCCCACCAAGGCGACGAUGGGUAACCGGCCUGAGAGGGGGAACGGUCACAUUGGAACUGAGACACGGUCCAAACUCCUACGGGAGGCAGCAGUGGGGAAUAUUGCACAAUGGAGGGAACUCUGAUGCAGCGACGCCGCGUGAGCGAUGAAGGAAUUCGUUUCGUAAAGCUCUGUUCUAUGGGAAGAAAAGGACUGUACCAUAGGAGAAAGCCCCGGCUAAAUACGUG